rnacentral:rRNA from 1 species
UACAGGGGGUGCAAGCGUUGCUCGGAAUUAUUGGGCGUAAAGCGCGCGUAGGCGGCUACUUAAGUCGGAUGUGAAAGCCCUUGGCUCAACUGAGGAAGUGCACCCGAAACUGAGUGGCUUGAGUACUAAAGAGGGUCGCGGAAUUCCAGGUGUAGCGGUGAAAUGCGUAGAUAUCUGAAGGAACAUCAGUGGCGAAAGCGACUUCCUGGACCAAUACUGACGCUCAUGUGCGAAAGCGUGGGGAGCAAACAGG